rnacentral:rRNA from 1 species
UACGGAGGGAGCUAGCGUUGUUCGGAAUUACUGGGCGUAAAGCGCACGUAGGCGGCCUGAUAAGUCGGGUGUGAAAGCCCUGGGCUCAACCCAGGAAGUGCACUCGAAACUGCCAGGCUUGAAUAUGGAAGAGGGUCGCGGAAUUCCCGGUGUAGAGGUGAAAUUCGUAGAUAUCGGGAGGAACACCAGUGGCGAAGGCGGCGACCUGGGCCAAUAUUGACGCUGAGGUGCGAAAGCGUGGGGAGCAAACAGG